UNUAAAGAGACCAGGAUAGCCGUUGUAGUU
rnacentral:piRNA from 1 species